UACGAAGGGGGCUAGCGUUGUUCGGAAUCACUGGGCGUAAAGGGCGCGUAGGCGGCUUUAUAAGUCGGGGGUGAAAUCCUGGAGCUCAACUCCAGAACUGCCUUUGAUACUGAGAAGCUUGAGUCCGGGAGAGGUGAGUGGAACUGCGAGUGUAGAGGUGAAAUUCGUAGAUAUUCGCAAGAACACCAGUGGCGAAGGCGGCUCACUGGCCCGGUACUGACGCUGAGGUGCGAAAGCGUGGGGAGCAAACAGG
rnacentral:rRNA from 1 species